ensembl:lncRNA
GGGGGGUAGCAUUGAGAUAAGUGACAUGUGUUCUCAUAAGUUUUGAACGCUGCCUGAAAGUGUAGGUUAUUGAACGUUAAAGUCCAUCUUUAGUCCAUUAUUAAAGAGCCUCACAUAUAUAAUCUGUUGUUUACUCCUAAGUGCAGUGACCUACAAAAGAGAAUAACUGAAAGGUUUUGUUCAUUAUGAAUGUGCUGUCACAGGAUAACUGGAGCUUGUUCUAAGAUGAAACACUAUUCAGAACACUGUAAAUAGGAGCCCUAUCAUCUCAUCUUCUGCUGUAGUGAUGCACAGACUGCGCAUUCCCAGGUUUUACUGUGUUGAUCUUUCGCCGGGGCUUUGACUUGCGUAACGCUCGAGCAAACAAGCCCCCUCCAACGUAUGAGGAGAGCAUCCGCCACUCCAUUGAAGUGCCCUUUGACAUUCUGAGGUCUGUAAUAGACACCCCUCAUCCCCAGAACAUUUACCCUCCGCACACUGGCACAGACCUUACCACUCAGUCAGAGGUAACCACUCAGUGCCCAUCCACUCAGGAUGCCAACAGUGCCACCCUACCAGUCUGAAUCCUCAGACUCGCUACUGACACACGAUGACAAGGACAACUGGAGUAUUGAUGCUUUUUAUCCACCUUGAUGUGCCAAACUGGUCAGAGGAUAACAGACAGGGGAAAUGCACACAUUCUCCAUAGGUUGAAUCAGACCCAGCAGCCAAUGGGUUGACUGUACUGUAGGAACAUCCUGCAGUGACAGUAUGCUGGAAGAUAGUGAAAUUCUACAUUGUGGGUUACUCCAUACUGACAAACUUGAAUGUCUAAACACCUCUUGUCAGUUGUGAUUUUAAACUGGAGCCUAAAUAAGACUGAUGAACUGGGAAGACUUGGAUUGCCAUUCUUCAGUGAAAAGGGAAACCGUCCUGUAGAUGACCAAUACCAUGACUAUAUGUGUCUGAGGUGGCAGGUUCUAAUGCCAAAGUUAACUGUAAGAGGAGACAGGCCAGGUAGAAAGACACUCCAUGACAAAUGUGCUGCUGAAAAACAAAGACCAUUUUGCUGUGAACAGAAAAAGCACCAAAAAGGAUGAACGAUCUUUAGAUUUAAAAAAAAUGUUUCUCAUAUUUUCUACAUUUGAUCAUUUUAUGGAUUAAAGUAAUCUGGAUGAUUGUUUUUUGGGGAACUGUGUUGUAGCGAGUCGUUUUCUGAGUAAAACCACUCUCCUCUUUUAGUGCAAUGUCUGAGCCAAAAACGUAUAAGCGUGAGUUGUAAAAUGCUCCUAUGUCCUACCCUGCUGAACUUGGGUUGUACAGUUGAGCCAGCUACAAUUUGUGUGUUAGUCUUGGAACCUGUGAAGAGUGAGUCAACAACACCAAUCAUGUGUUGGCUCUGGUAACGGGUCUUAAAAGCCCAAUGCAGCCGUUUUUUUUAUAUCAAAUCAUUUAUGGGUAACAAUAAUGUACCUUACUGUAAUGGUUUUCCAUUAAAAUGAUCUAAAUUGUUUUUUUUGUUGCUUUUAAGCGUUAAACGUUUUAACAAGCAAUAAUUGUGGUCUGAGUGGGGAGGAGAAAAGGGAAAACUAGUUGUUAUUGUUAGAGAGGUUUGGAACUCUUUAUUAUUAAUCUAUUAACUCAUUUACCACCUGGUGAUGUCACCAGGCAAGACAAAACUCCACCCAUGCAAAACCUGCUGGGUAGAAGGUCCUUUGUAGAAUGUAUUUUCAACCAGGAAAUAAUACUGAUCAAAUCUUGUUAGUUUCAUCAGCUGUUGUACAAUAUGAUGCAAAACACAAACUGAAUUUUUACUGCACGGGGCCUUUAAGAUACAAUUCAGCAUUGGGAUUGUGGGAAGCGGUAAGGAGCUAGCUUUGUUUAUUCAAGACCUCUGUGAACAGUGAAUGAGAAUAGUUGUGUAAAAAGCUUAUUUUUUGUUGUUGAUUAACUGGGCUGCCUGUUUUAACAGUCCCUGCACAAGCUUGAGAAGAAACCAGUAUGAAUGACAAGAAAAAGUAUGUAAUAUUUCCCUCACAUAAUGUCUGAAACAAAAGUAUGUAAUAUUUCCCUCACAUCAUGUCUGAAACAAAAGUAUGUAAUAUUUCCCUCACAUAAUGUCUGAAACAAAAGUAUGUAAUAUUUCCCUCACAUAAUGUCUGAAACAAAAGUAUGUAAUAUUUCCCUCACAUAAUGUCUGAAACAAAAGUAUGUAAUAUUUCCCUCACAUCAUGUCUGAAACAAAAGUAUGAGGUUUCAACAGCCGUUAGCAAGUUCUAUUCAAAAGACAUAAAUUCCUGUCUGUCACGUAAACUAAUUGAGAUGGUGGUGGCUUCUAGAUAAAGACAUGUUUAACAUAGAGCCUGUGUGCGGUCUCUGUCUGGCCUUAAUGUCCACUAGUGUCCUUUUCACCUCAUUUAACACAUGAUUUACUAAACAAAAGGCACAUCUCAAUAGGUGGUCCAGGUAUGACAUGAACAAGCAGGGGGAGGGGCAGGUGGUACUUUCCUCUUUUGCUCUCCAUUGUUCCUCAAACAAGGAGGAGGCUGAUGACAUCACAUCUGACCAUCUCCUUUUAUUUUAUUUAUUUAACCUUUAUUUAACUAGGCAAGUCCGUUAAGAACAAAUUCUUAUUUACAAUAACGGCCUAGGAACAGUGGGUUAACUGCCUUGUUCAGGGGCAGAACGACAGAUUUUUACCUUGUCAGCUCGGGGAUUCGAUCUAGCAACCUUUCGGUUACUGGCCCAACGCUCUAACUACUAGGCUACCUGCCGCCCCAAACCUGCCACUCCAAAAU